GUUUACACAAAAAUACCCCCUGGUCCCUAUGGGUCAAUUCCCCCCUUUCCCAGGCAUACAUACAUACAUACAUACAUACAUACAACAAUAAUAAUACAUAAGGGUUUCAAUUGCAAUACAAUCACUAGAAAUAAGAGAACAGUAUGCACAAAAUCAUAGCAUAGACAUGUUAAAUAGACAAUAAAAUAAAAUAUUCAAUAGCUCAUCAAAGGUCAACAUUUAAACACUGGUCUGCAUCUGAUAUUCUAUCUGUGUUCCAAUGUCCACCCCUGGUUUCUGCUAUAUCUGAAAAAGGUAAGAAAACAGAUCAGGAUUACUUUUCCUUGUCACUUAUAGCGUAUACUGCCAAAUCCUUUACUUAGCAUAUAUACAUAUAUAAAUACAUUCCCUAAACUUUUCAUUUUAUAAACAAUUUGUUCAACAAGGUAACUUUCUUAAUUUUCUACUUGGCUCUUAAAAUAAACAAUCAGCUAAU